rnacentral:rRNA from 1 species
AAACAUUGCUUUAUGUUUUUUUAUAAGGUUAACCCUGCUCAAUGAUAUAUUAAAUAGCCGCAGUACUUUGACUGUGCAAAGGUAGCAUAAUCAUUUGGCUUAUAAUUGAAGUCUGGAAUGAAUGGGAGUAUGGGUAGUUACUGUCUUACCAUUAAUAAUUGAAUUUACUAAUUAAGUGAAAAUUCUUAUAGUAAUAUAAUAGACGAGAAGACCCUAGAAAUUUUAUAUAUUUAUGUAGUUACAUAGACUAUUUUGUUGGGGCGACAGAGCAACAUUUAACUUGUUUAUUAUUAUUUGACCUUAUUGAAAAGUGUAACUAAAUUACUCUAGGGAUAACAGCAUAAUACAAAAGAGUUUGUGACCUCGAUGUUGGACUAGGAAUAUUAUUGUUUAGAAGAUAAUAAUAAUAGCUCUGUUCGAGCUAAAAUUCCUACGUGAUC